GACGUAGGGCGCGAGCGUUGUCCGGAUUUAUUGGGCGUAAAGAGCUCGUAGGCGGCUUGUCGCGUCGGCUGUGAAAUCCCGUGGCUCAACCGAGGAAGUGCGCGCGAAACUGCAUUGCUUGAGUACCGGAGAGGAUGGCGGAAUUCCCGAAGUAGAGGUGAAAUUCGUAGAUAUCGGGAGGAACACCGGUGGCGAAGGCGGCCAUCUGGACGGAUACUGACGCUGAGACGCGAAAGCGUGGGGAGCAAACAGG
rnacentral:rRNA from 1 species